rnacentral:rRNA from 1 species
AGUCGUACAGGUCUCCGUAGGUGAACCUGCGGAGGGAUCAUUACACAAAUAUGAAGGCGGGCUGGAACCUCUCGGGGUUACAGCCUUGCUGAAUUAUUCACCCUUGUCUUUUGCGUACUUCUUGUUUCCUUGGUGGGUUCGCCCACCACUAGGACAAACAUAAAUCUUUUGUAAUUGCAAUCAGCGUCAGUAACAAAUCAAUAAUUACAACUUUCAACAACGGAUCUCUUGGUUCUGGCAUCGAUGAAGAACGCAGCGAAAUGCGAUAAGUAGUGUGAAUUGCAGAAUUCAGUGAAUCAUCGAAUCUUUGAACGCACAUUGCGCCCUUUGGUAUUCCAAAGGGCAUGCCUGUUCGAGCGUCAUUUGUACCCUCAAGCUUUGCUUGGUGUUGGGCGUCUUGUCUCUAGCUUUGCUGGAGACUCGCCUUAAAGUAAUUGGCAGCCGGCCUACUGGUUUCGGAGCGCAGCGCAAGUCGCACUCUCUAUCAGCAAAGGUCUAGCAUCCACUAAGCCUUUUUUUUCAACUUUUGACCUCGGAUCAGGUAGGGAUACCCGCUGAACUUA